rnacentral:rRNA from 1 species
CCCCUAGAUGUUCUGGGCCGCACGCGCGCUACACUGAACAGUUCAACAAGUCUUAACCUUGGCCGAUAGGUCUGGGUAAUCUUUGAACGCUGUUCGUGAUUGGGAUAGACCUUUGCAAUUAUGGAUCUUGAACGAGGAAUGCCUAGUAAGCGCAGGUCAUUAGCCUGCGCUGAUUACGUCCCUGCCCUUUGUACACACCGCCCGUCGCUACUACCGAUUUCGAGUGGUCCGGUGAAGCUUUUGGACUGCGCGUGGCUUCGUGCCGUGUCGCGGAAAGUCAGCUAAACCUUAUCACUUAGAGGAAGUAAAAGUCGUAACA